UUUCCGUAGGUGAACCUGCGGAAGGAUCAUUAGUGAAUUUUAGGGCGUCUGCUUUUGCAGAGCCUGACCUCCACUUCUAACACUGUGCACUUGAUGGCAAAGAAAGGACUAGAGAAGCGUAACAACUUCAUUAGAACCCUGCUUUGCGGCUUCAUUUUAAACUUUAGUCAAAGUAUGUAACAAAAUUUAAAACAAAAAAAACUUUCAACAACGGAUCUCUUGGCUCUCGCAUCGAUGAAGAACGCAGC
rnacentral:misc_RNA from 1 species